rnacentral:rRNA from 1 species
CCUACGGGUGGCUGCAGUGGGGAAUAUUGCACAAUGGGCGCAAGCCUGAUGCAGCCAUGCCGCGUGUAUGAAGAAGGCCUUCGGGUUGUAAAGUACUUUCAGUAGGGAGGAAGGUGGUUAAGUUAAUACCUUAAUCAUUUGACGUUACCUACAGAAGAAGCACCGGCUAACUCCGUGCCAGCAGCCGCGGUAAUACGGAGGGUGCAAGCGUUAAUCGGAAUUACUGGGCGUAAAGCGCAUGCAGGUGGUUUGUUAAGUCAGAUGUGAAAGCCCUG